rnacentral:sRNA from 1 species
ACUCCUGUUAACGCACAAUUAAGACUUUGCGGUUAAGGUGAAGUUAUUCAGAUUUUUCUGAAUUUUUCAGAGCGGUUCUCCCUCUGUUUGACGCCUCCCUGUUAACUUCGAGAGCCGUGGUUCACGGCUCUUUUCUU